UACGUAGGCAGCAAGCGUUGUUCGGAGUUACUGGGCGUAAAGGGUGUGUAGGCGGUUGCCUAAGUUUGGUGUGAAAUCUCCUGGCUCAACCGGGAGGGUGCGCCGAAAACUGGGUGACUAGAGUGUGGGAUGGGUAAGUGGAAUUCCUGGUGUAGCGGUGAAAUGCGUAGAUAUCAGGAGGAACACCGGUGGUGUAGACGGCUUACUGGACCAUAACUGACGCUGAGACACGAAAGCGUGGGGAGCAAACAGG
rnacentral:rRNA from 1 species